rnacentral:rRNA from 1 species
AGAGUUGAUCCUGGCUUAGGAUGAACGCUGGCGGCGCGCUUAACACAUGCAAGUCGAACGGUUAAAGCACCUCCGGGUGUGCAUAAAGUGGCGAACGGCUGAGUAACACGUGGGCAACCUGCCCCCCGCACCGGGAUAGCCUCGGGAAACCGUGGGUAAUACCGGAUACUCCGCCACCCCCGCAUGGGGGAGGCGGGAAAGCGUACACGGCGGGGGAUGGGCCCGCGGCCUGUUAGCUCGUUGGCGGGGUAACGGCCCACCAAGGCGAUUAUGGGUAGCCGGGUUGAGAGACCGACCGGCCAGAUUGGGACUGAGACACGGCCCAGACUCCUACGGGAGGCAGCAGUGGGGAAUCUUGCACAAUGGGCGAAAGCCUGAUGCCAGCGACGCCGCGUGCGGGAUGAAGGCCCUCGGGUUGUAAACCGCUUUCAGCAGGGACGAGGCGCAAGUGACGGUACCUGCAGAAGAAGCCCCGGCUAACUACGUGCCAGCCGCCGC